rnacentral:lncRNA from 1 species
UCCCGCUCUGAAGUAGGAUAUAUAACAGGAAUAUGCAAGUCGGACUAUGUUUUCAACUAUUUUUGGCCAAUGGAUAACGAAUGGUUAAAACAUAAUAUAUCUAUCUCUCUCUCUCUAUAUAUAUACACACACAUAGUGUUUGGGUAUAAUAUUAUCACUAAAUUUAUGAGUCUAGUGCGAAUCCUAGUUGAUACAUCUAACCGACCGUCCCUAGAGCAAGUGGCAAAGGGCUUGAUGGUUGGUACCCGAGGUCCCAAGUUCGAAUCCUAGUUGAUUCACAUUUCAAGCUAAGCUUAUUUCUAAAUGACAUAAACGAAGCGGGUAGCGUGCUACCUAAUCUCUCAAAAAAAAUAUUAUUGCUAGUACCAAUUAAGCACUUUGUGCAAUUAAAUUUUCUGUCAUUACAUCUACCUCUUUGACCGUUUUCAUCCUUUAGAUCAUACUAUUUCACCAACCAAUCACUAAACCGUAGGAGAUCGCUUUCUUACUAAUUAUCGUACAUCUCUUCAUCCAAAUGUCAAAAACCUAAUAGCAUCGAUGACUCAAUCUGUAUUAGAUUUUUGGCCCUUGGAUGCUAUUGUAGAACCAAGUCAUUGGUACUAUUAAAUUUUUGGCCCUUGGGUGAAUAGAUAUGCGGUUAUGAUAAUAGUGGUUCCCUAGGGUUUAGCGGGUGGUUGAUGUAAUAAUAUGAUUUAAGAGAUGGAAAUGGUUAAAAAGGUAGAUCUAAUUAAUAGUAGAAAAUUUAAUAGCACCAAAUGCUUGAUGUUAUUGAUAGCAUUAAUUGUAGCUAGACUAUAUAUAUAU